AACGAACGCUGGCGGCAGGCUUAACACAUGCAAGUCGAGCGCCCCGCAAGGGGAGCGGCAGACGGGUGAGUAACGCGUGGGAACGUACCCUUUGCUACGGAAUAGCUCCGGGAAACUGGAAUUAAUACCGUAUGUGCCCUACGGGGGAAAGAUUUAUCGGCAAAGGAUCGGCCCGCGUUGGAUUAGCUAGUUGGUGGGGUAAUGGCCUACCCAGGCGACGAUCCAUAGCUGGUCUGAGAGGAUGAUCAGCCACAUUGGGACUGAGACUCGGCCCAAACUCCGACGGGAGGCAGCAGUGGGGAAUAUUGGACAAUGGGCGCAAGCCUGAUCCAGCCAUGCCGCGUGAGUGAUGAAGGCCUUAGGGUUGUAAAGCUCUUUCACCGGAGAGGAUAAUGACGGUAUCCGGAGAAGAAGCCCCGGCUAACUUCGUGCCAGCCGCCGCGGUAACAC
rnacentral:rRNA from 1 species